rnacentral:rRNA from 1 species
GAUGAACGCUGGCGGCGUGCCUAAUACAUGCAAGUCGAGCGAACGGACGAGAAGCUUUCUUCUCUGAUGUUAGCGGCGGACGGGUGAGUAACACGUGGAUAACCUACCUAUAAGACUGGGAUAACUUCGGGAAACCGGAGCUAAUACCGGAUAAUAUUUUGCACCGCAUGGUUCACACGUGAAAGACGGUCUUGCUGUCACUUAUAGAUGGAUCCGCGCUGCAUUAGCUAGUUGGUAAGGUAACGGCUUACCAAGGCAACGAUGCAUAGCCGACCUGAGAGGGUGAUCGGCCACCCUGGAACUGAGACACGGUCCAGACUCCUACGGGAGGCAGCAGUAGGGAAUCUUCCGCAAUGGGCGAAAGCCUGACGGAGCAACGCCGCGUGAGUGAUGAAGGUCUUCGGAUCGUAAAACUCUGUUAUUAGGGAAGAACAUAUGUGUAAGUAACUGUGCACAUCUUGACGGUACCUAAUCAGAAAGCCACGGCUAACUACGUG